UGAGAACGUACAGCUUGUUCUUGGCAGAUCUGGGUUAGACGAUCCAGCUGCUCCUCUCGUACUGCCUUGGCCUUCUCAUACUGCUGGAUUUCCAGCUCCAUUUCCACCUUCACUUGCAGAACAUGCGAAAUGAGAUAAUGAGGCCGAUGGCAUCCCAGGGGCUGCUGGGGCCGUUGGCCACUGUGGAGGCCACCAUGGGGGCCAGAGAGAGUACGAUGACAGCUCCAUCAAACACCUGAAACAAAAAGGCAACUCCUGUGUUAUAACACCUGCAGAACAACCUCUCCCCCCCAAAUCAAUUUACUUCUUAUAAGACAUGAAAGAGUUCACCUCUACUUUGUUCUCAAUGUAAUCCCAUAUCCCCAGCACCACAAUCCUGAACACCGUCUAAGAGCAGCAGUGGUGGGACAGAAAAAACAAGGUUAUAAGAAGAUCCAUUUACAAGUAUUUUCUUAAUUUAUUCAAUUACACUACAUUCAUUUAAA